AAAAGAAGCCUCGAGCGUUACCCGGUUUUACUGGGCGUAAAGCGUGCGUAGGCGGCUUUUUAAGUCGGAUGUGAAAUCCCCGAGCUUAACUUGGGAAUUGCAUUCGAUACUGGGAAGCUAGAGUAUGGGAGAGGAUGGUAGAAUUCCAGGUGUAGCGGUGAAAUGCGUAGAGAUCUGGAGGAAUACCGAUGGCGAAGGCAGCCAUCUGGCCUAAUACUGACGCUGAGGUACGAAAGCAUGGGGAGCAAACAGG
rnacentral:misc_RNA from 1 species